GCCGCGCUGAGGGGACAGCGCCGGGUGGGGCCCUCCUUCACCUCCGGGGACUCGCCCGCCGGCGGCUCCCUCCCUGUCCGCUCUCCCCCCGCCCGAUGCGCGCUGACCCCGCUCCCUGGAGCUUGGGGGCGGCCGGCGGGGGGUGUGGGGGCUGCUGAGGGGGUUUGUUCCAGGGCUCAGGGGUCUUUUCUCAAGUCUCUCAGAGCUGCAGAGCGGGGCUGCAGCGGGGCCCGAGGCUGUGGCACGGCUGUGGCACCGGGUCUCACCAAGGCAAAUCCCCCGCUCACGGCGGGUUCCAGCCGUUCCCAGCAGUGUCUUCCCGGCCCCCGCAGCGUGCCCAGGACACGCUCAGGGGGCCCCGUGCGAGGUCUCUCGCUUACUUUUGGACUUGGACAGACCUAAUCUGUGAAGAUAAUUAAAGUUCCUUUGCUCUGGAUACUACUCUCCCAGGAAAGACCUGCUGGCCUGAAAGUCUGUCCCUGCAGCACCGUGGCUUCUGGAGCAUCUGGGAUAAUGCUCCUCUGGAACAGGGAAUCAGCUGUAGCUGGCACUACAGGGAGACAGGGCUGAAGUACCUGGGGCCGUUCUUCCCUCCACCUUGUCACAGGCCUGCCUGUUCCUGAGCUUGGCUCCCUUGGCUCCCCUUCCAGCAGUAACUCAGCUCACUACACCAAGGAG